UACUGGACAAUGGGGGGAACCCUGAUCCAGCGACGCCGCGUGUGUGAAGAAGUAUUUCGGUAUGUAAAGCUCUAUCAGUAGGGAAGAAAGAAAUGACGGUACCUGACUAAGAAGCCCCGGCUAACUACGUGCCAGCAGCAGCGGUAAUACGUAGGGGGCAAGCGUUAUCCGGAUUUACUGGGUGUAAAGGGAGCGUAGACGGCGAUGCAAGUCCGAAGUGAAAGGCGGGGGCUCAACCCCCGGACUGCUUUGGAAACUGUAUGGCUGGAGUGCAGGAGAGGUAAGUGGAAUUCCUAGUGUAGCGGUGAAAUGCGUAGAUAUUAGGAGGAACACCAGUGGCGAAGGCGGCUUACUGGACUGUAACUGACGUUGAGGCUCGAAAGCGUGGGGAGCAAACAGG
rnacentral:rRNA from 1 species